ACCGCUAUGUUGCUUCAAUCCAAGGAAAGGUCCAGCAACCAGGCUGCCAGCUACAUGUGCAGCAACUAGACACCACUGUUGCAGUUUAAUCAUCACUCAGCCUGCAACUAGAUUUACAGCAGCCAGCAACGCAGCGUCCAUGGUAGAUCAGGAAAGGGAACAAAAUCAAAAUGCCAUGACUAGAGGGGGCGGAGCCUGGAUGGAGCUCAGGUGGGUUUUCCAGACACCUGUGAUUGGUUCAGAUCUGCUUUUUAAAGUUGGAUCAGAAAACUGCUCCUACAUGAUGCAUCUUCAGUAGUUUCUUCCUCUCGUGCUGGUGCUGGUGUGUGUUUAAACACGUGUUUCAUAAACGUUUCAGAAGCACUUUGGCAGUUAUUAAAGACAGAAAAACAUCUUUACAGGUUGUCUACAAGCCAACUGAGAAUAAUAUAAACUAAAGAAACAAUACAAUCCUCUAUGGGUUUAAAAUCAAAGUACCUCAAAACAUUUAGUAAAAAUCAUGUCUGAAACAUUGUCCUGUUUCAGAUGUUUUCACUGCAUAUGGUUUCACAGAACAACCAUUGGAGUUUGAUGAGCAGGACAAUUAAAGCCAAACUGAUCAAUCUGUUAAAAUCACUGUUUUAUUAAUGAGGUUGUGCUCAGUGGAUCAGCCGAUCAACCAACAUGUAAUUACAACUCAUCCAAUUGGCUGAUAUGAGGGUCAGGAACAGGUAAAGUUGUUGCUAUAGUAACAUCAGCAGAUCCCCCUCCCCUCCCCAGUUAUAUAACAGCUGCAGUCUAUAAAUACACCCAGCAGUAUGUGUUAUUGUGUGUGUUCAUAUCUUUGUCUGGUUUUGUGGAGCAAAUUUUGUUUGCAACCAAUGCUGUGAGGACACUAUGGCCUGUCUGUCUUAGGGCUCGAGUCUGGAAUUAGGGUCCUGUUUUGAAUGCACACGUGUCACACACGUGACACGUGUGCAUUCUGAAUUAAUUGAACAAAAUACGCCUGACCUCUCUAUCCCUCUGGCUGUGUCCUAAUUCAGUGCCCACAUUCUUCAAAAGCUGCAUUUAAAAGCCAUCUGUGUCACAGCAUCGCAACAAGGCUGUCCCAGUUCAGCCCGUUCAGAUGCAUCCUCCUUUUCUGGGAAAAUAAACUGCUUUAUCCUUCAUAGCCCAACAUAUUCAAAUGUGCUGGUGACAAAAAGUGAAUAUGUUGGACACAAGUUUGGAGUCAGAGUUCACUUUUUUAUACAAAUGUAAAUAGCAGGUUUCAGCUCAGUCAAAUAAAAUAUUUACAAACAAGAGGUCUCAAUAACCUCAAAGUAAUGUGAAGCGUCUUGUUCUCCUCCAACAGAACAUAAAAGAAAUAUAAUCAACAUUUCUGGCUCCGUCAUAUAUAAAUAUUAAUAACUGUUCGCAGUACCGUUAUCCAACUCUGGUCCAACUGCAACUGUCUUGGUUGCUAGGGAACAGGAGCAGCGCUUCAUGACUCAACAGUAGGGGCGGGAACAGUUGGUGACGCAUACGGGAAGUCCUCAUUUAAGAUUGAUCAGCUGAUCCGGAUUCGGGAAGGUUGUCUCUAUUGAGGGACAAAAAAAAUAAAUAAAAUAAACACCAUUUUUAUCUGCAGUUGUUUAUUUCACUGAAGGAACGU
rnacentral:lncRNA from 1 species